rnacentral:rRNA from 1 species
GUCUAUAAAUGAAGUUUUAUAUAGUCUAGCCUGCCCACUGAUUUUUUUUUUAAUGGCCGCGGUACCUUGACCGUGCAAAGGUAGCGUAAUAAUUAGUUUUUUAAUUGAAAACUUGUAUGAAAGGCUGAACAAAGAAAUCUCUGUUUCUGUACUUAUCCUUUAAUUUUAUUUUUAAGUGAAAAAGCUUAAUUGACCUUAAAAGACGAUAAGACCCUAUAAAUCUUUAUAUUAUUAUUAUUAUGUAUUUUAAAUAUUAUUAGUUAACUUUAAACUAUUUCAUAUUUAUUAUGUUGGGGCGACAAGAAUAUUUCAUAUCAAUCUGUUCUAUUUUUUAAACACUAAUAAUUGAUUAACAUAGAGCCUAAUUUUUAGACUAAUAGACCAAGUUACUUUAGGGAUAACAGCGUGAUUUUUUUUAAGAGUUCUUAUCGAAAAAAAAGUUUGCGACCUCGAUGUUGAAUUAAAAUUUCUUUGUAGGCGCAGAAGUCACACAAGUAAGUCUGUUCGACUUUUAAAAUUUU